rnacentral:rRNA from 1 species
UACGUAGGGGGCAAGCGUUGUCCGGAUUUAUUGGGCGUAAAGAGCGUGUAGGCGGCCAAGCAGGUCAGCUGUGAAAACUCGAGGCUCAACCUCGAGACGUCGGUUGAAACCGCUUGGCUAGAGUCCGGAGGAGGAGAGUGGAAUUCCCGGUGUAGCGGUGAAAUGCGCAGAUAUCGGGAAGAACACCCGUGGCGAAGGCGGCUCUCUGGGACGGUACUGACGCUGAGACGCGAAAGCGUGGGGAGCGAACAGG